rnacentral:rRNA from 1 species
GCCAAGCUGUAAAAACUUAACUUACACCUACAAACGCCAGGGUAUUACGAGCCCAGCUUAAAACCCAAAGGACUUGACGGUGUCCUACCCAACUAGAGGAGCCUGUUCUAUAAUCGAUACUCCACGAUACACCUUACCACUUUUUGCCAAUCAGCCUGUAUACCUCCGUCGCAAGCUCACCGUAUGAACGCAUAAUAGUGAACUCAAAGGCCAAGCACCCAAACGUCAGGUCAAGGUGCAGCUAAUAAAGUGGAAGUAAUGGGCUACAAUUUCUAAUUUAGAAUAAACGAAAUGCUGCAUGAAACAUAGUCAUGAAGGCGGAUUUAGCAGUAAGUAGGAAAUAGAGAGUCCUACUAAACUUGGCCCUAGGACGUGU